rnacentral:rRNA from 1 species
UACGAAGGGGGCUAGCGUUGCUCGGAAUGACUGGGCGUAAAGGGCGCGUAGGCGGCUCAUACAGUCAGAUGUGAAAUUCCUGGGCUUAACCUGGGGGCUGCAUUUGAUACGUGUGGGCUUGAGUGGGGAAGAGGGUCGUGGAAUUCCCAGUGUAGAGGUGAAAUUCGUAGAUAUUCGGAAGAACACCAGUGGCGAAGGCGACAUACUGGUCCGUUACUGACGCUGAGGCUCGAAAGCGUGGGGAGCAAACAGG